rnacentral:rRNA from 1 species
AGUCGAACGAUGAUCCCAGCUUGCUGGGGGAUUAGUGGCGAACGGGUGAGUAACACGUGAGUAACCUGCCCUUGACUCUGGGAUAAGCCUGGGAAACUGGGUCUAAUACCGGAUACGACCAUCUGGCGCAUGUCAUGGUGGUGGAAAGCUUUUGUGGUUUUGGAUGGACUCGCGGCCUAUCAGCUUGUUGGUGGGGUAAUGGCCUACCAAGGCGACGACGGGUAGCCGGCCUGAGAGGGUGACCGGCCACACUGGGACUGAGACACGGCCCAGACUCCUACGGGAGGCAGCAGUGGGGAAUAUUGCACAAUGGGCGCAAGCCUGAUGCAGCGACGCCGCGUGAGGGAUGACGGCCUUCGGGUUGUAAACCUCUUUCAGUAGGGAAGAAGCGUAAGUGACGGUACCUGCAGAAGAAGCGCCGGCUAACUACGUGCCAGCAGCCGCGGUAAUACGUAGGGCGCAAGCGUUAUCCGGAAUUAUUGGGCGUAAAGAGCUCGUAGGCGGUUUGUCGCGUCUGCUGUGAAAGACCGGGGCUCAACUCCGGUUCUGCAGUGGGUACGGGCAGACUAGAGUGCAGUAGGGGAGACUGGAAUUCCUGGUGUAGCGGUGAAAUGCGCAGAUAUCAGGAGGAACACCGAUGGCGAAGGCAGGUCUCUGGGCUGUAACUGACGCUGAGGAGCGAAAGCAUGGGGAGCGAACAGGAUUAGAUACCCUGGUAGAAGGGC